rfam:Oesophagostomum dentatum strain OD-Hann O_dentatum-1.0_Cont31433.1, whole genome shotgun sequence.
GCAUCGGUAGUUCAGUGGUGGAAUGCUCGCUUGCCAGGCGGGCGACCCUGCUUCGUUUCCCUGCCGAUGCA